GGGGGCAGGGUUAGCUCCUGGAGUUACAGUUGCGAGCCCAUCAUCCUUACAUGGAUACUAAGUGACUGAACUUUUAUCUUUUGCAAGAGCAGUAAGCACAUUUAACCACUGAGCCAUCUCUCCUGCCCCCGUGCCUCUUGGUGCAAUAGGUAAAAUGAGAAUCUUCUUUUUAAAACGGAGGUUUUGUUCUCUCCCUUUAUUGAUAACACAGGAUCCCUUUCUAAUUUGUGUAGUAACCAGUAUUGGUGAGAAUGCCCAAAUCCGAAGGGGUUAUUGUCAGACUCGGCCCUGUGACUUGCCCUAUAAAUUUCCUAGAGACAAGGCAUAAUCUCGUAAGUCUUUAUACAAAGUUUGUGGACAAUCCCAGGCAUAUGGCGUACUUCUCUAGCUAAUGUCUGUAACAUGUGGAUAGCCAUAGCAGUUAGCAGCUAAAGCAAUCCUGGCGGCUAAAACUACAGAAGCUGCUCUGACACAGGUCUCAGAAUGCAACACAAAGCCCUCUUCUACAGAAGCAGAAAGAAGAAACUCCAGAGGGGAAAAGGAAAACAAAGGGAAGGUGGGCAAGAAGAGGGGGAAACAUAAAAAGAGCAAACACAGGCAGCUUUUAGAGGAACCGCGAGCGGUCAGUCAUCUGCGAAAGCCGCCGGGUUACGUAGCUGGCGUAGCCAUUUGUGGAGAGCGCGGUGCGGAUCUGGGACUAUUCGGCUGUGAUGAAAGCUCGUCUGUGUUUCCCCCUUCCGCCCCCGUUUUCUCGGCGCCAGAAAUCCAGUGUUGUAUAACGUGUAAAAUGGCCGGGUCGGGACAUAUGCUUACUUUCCGGGAUUAGCAAGGCAGCUAGAGGAUGACUCUAUAAGGAGAGUGGAGAAACUGGCCAGUUAAUGUGUCUGCCAGAAUGAGUGCCCGGCCUCGCUCUGGUCAGAGAGGUGACCCGGACAUCAGCCACUACUCCGACCACGUGUUCUGCCAAGCGGGAGGAGUAGCCGCCUUGCAUUCCCUGUUUCUCCCCUACUUCACUGUACGUGGAAUGUGCACAUGAGUACAGCUGCCAAUGGAAGUCAGAAGAAACCAUAGGAUUCCUUGGAGCUGACGUUACAGUAUAGGGAACGGCUGAAUGUAUAUGAAGGUGGUUGUACCUGCCUCCCCUCUUGAAGCAUAUUUUCUCUGAUCAUCAUGAAACCUGAGCUGCUCUCCUGCUACCGUGCCGCUGCCUCAACUCCACCCUCCUGGACUAACCCUCUGGAACUGGUUUCUCUGUGUAGACCGGGAUGGCCCUGAACUCAGAAGGCAUGCACCACUACUCCUGGCUCUUCUUUACAUGUUCAUUAAACUGAUUUUGUCACAGGGAGAAAGACUGGAAACUAUAUACACAUAGACAUCCCUCUGCCACACACUAUUGCCUUGUUCUCAAGCUUCAUUCAGUGGUCCAAAGAAAAGCAUCCACAAGCCGGGUGAUGGUGAAGCACGCCUUUAAUCCCAGCACUAGGGAGGCAGAGGCAGGCAGAUCUCUGUGAGUUUGAGCCUGGUCUACAAAAGCUAGUUCCAGGAAAGGCUCCAAAACUACAGAGAAACCCUGUCUCGAAAAACCAAAAAAAAAAAAAAAAAAAAAAAAAAAGAAAGAAAGAAAGAAAGAAAA